CGGGGGUAAUGGAAGCUCCCUACCGCCAAGCACCACGACCCUCCCCUGCCUUCUCCAGGCCUAAGGGUCAAGCUGCCAGGCCACCAGGCAGUGCCAGGUACGAGGAUGACAACACCUAGCCAACCCGCGGAGAAGGCGAUACUUACAGCAUGCCUACUGUGUGCAAAAUGCCAUGCUGAAGGCUGUCAGGUCUUGAAAGGUGAUGAUUCAGCAGAGGAUGCUGUUUGUGCCUCACCCCGUGUCCUCUAGCCCACUUCUCCACUCAUCUGCCACUGUGAUGGGAAGGUGUCAGCAAGCCCAGGAAUUGUCCACCCUAAGCAGCCUUUCUGCUUCUCACCUGCAGAGUUUCUCCAGUGCAGGGGCCAAGAGAGCUUUACUCAGCCCACAGGACAGCUGGGAUUUAACACUGCAGGGGCAACCCUCAAGUUAUUAAUAAGAGAUAAGAAUGGGUGGAUAAGCAACCUGGCUGCCUUGGAACUCCGUGGGACAAUUCCAUGGUGUGUUCUCACAGUUCCUCAGUGGGCCCCCAUUGCCCACAAUGAAACUCGAUCAUUAACCACUCUUCACUGGCUUUUCUCCUAACCCAUCCCUAUCUCACUUCCCCUUUCCCUCCCUCCAGCCUCCAGAGAUCACCUCCUCAGUAAACUACCUGCACCCAAGUUCUUGUCUCAGGGUCUGAUUUCAG
rnacentral:lncRNA from 1 species